rnacentral:rRNA from 1 species
UACCAGCACCCCGAGUGGUCGGGACGAUUAUUGGGCCUAAAGCAUGCGUAGCCGGUUCUACAAGUCUUCCGUUAAAUCCACCUGCUUAACAGAUGGGCUGCGGAGGAUACUAUGGAGCUAGGAGGCGGGAGAGGCAAGCGGUACUUAGUGGGUAGGGGUAAAAUCCGUUGAUCCAUUGAAGACCACCAGUGGCGAAGGCGGCUUGCCAGAACGCACUCGACGGUGAGGGAUGAAAGCUGGGGGAGCAAACCGG